AGAACGAACGCUGGCGGCAUGCCUAAUACAUGCAAGUCGAACGAACACUUCGGUGUUAGUGGCGCACGGGUGCGUAACGCGUGGGAAUCUGCCCUUGGGUUCGGAAUAACAGUUGGAAACGACUGCUAAUACCGGAUGAUAUCGAAAGAUCAAAGAUUUAUCGCCCAGGGAUGAGCCCGCGUAGGAUUAGCUAGUUGGUGAGGUAAAGGCUCACCAAGGCGACGAUCCUUAGCUGGUCUGAGAGGAUGAUCAGCCACACUGGGACUGAGACACGGCCCAGACUCCUACGGGAGGCAGCAGUAGGGAAUAUGGACAAUGGGCGCAAGCCUGAUCCAGCAAUGCCGCGUGAGUGAUGAAGGCCUUAGGGUUGUAAAGCUCUUUACCCGAGAUGAUAAUGACAGUAUCGGAAGAAUAAGCCCCGGAUAACUCCGUGCCAGCAGCCGA
rnacentral:rRNA from 1 species